rnacentral:rRNA from 1 species
UACGUAGGCAGCGAGCGUUGUUCGGAGUUACUGGGCGUAAAGGGUGUGUAGGCGGUUGUUUAAGUUUGGGGUGAAAUCUCCCGGCUCAACUGGGAGGGUGCGCCGAAUACUGAAUGACUUCGAGUGCGGGAGAGGAGAGUGGAAUUCCUGGUGUAGCGGUGAAAUGCGCAGAUAUCGGGAAGAACACCUAUGGCGAAGACAGCUCUCUGGGACGGUACUGGCGCUGAGACGCGAAAGCGUGGGGAGCGAACAGG